GCCCUCCUAGCUCAAUGGUCGAGCAGCGGUUUUGUAAACCGUCGAUGCAAGUUCGAUUCUCGCGGAGGGCU
rnacentral:tRNA from 1 species